rnacentral:misc_RNA from 1 species
AAGUCGUAACAAGGUUUCCGUAGGUGAACCUGCGGAAGGAUCAUUCCCAAAAAGCUGGUUUUUGUUUUUUUAAACGAAACAAAAACCUUUUUUAACGAUUGUGUGAACAACCCAUUUUUCUCUUUUCCUUUCUUAAUUAUUAACCAAAUAAAAGUGUGUGUGUGUUUUUAAAAAAACACCCAAAACAAAUUACUAGAGAGACUAGAAGAAGCUUCUUUUUCUUUUCCUCUAAGUAUAACCCCAAAAAAAAACUCAAAAACAAAAACAAAACAAAACUAUAAAGUACAACUCUUAACAAUGGAUAUCUCGGCUCUUGC